GCAGGCGAGAACUCACCGCGAACAGACGACAACGCAUACAAAUGUAAACUUUCAUUUAGGCCUCACCCUGGAAAACUUGACUUUCGAGAAACAUUUCUCUCUUUUUUUGGGGUGUAUACAGGUAACCCACACCUGUAUCAGGUAAGCUAAUUUACCUGUGUGUUUUAACGACGAUUGUCGUCACAAACUGUCAAAAAAUCCACAAAAACAAAACAUGGAUCACGAGGUGGAAUAUUCAACCGAACUGACGAAGAUCUACCACACCAACUACGUGCGAAAUUCUCGAGCUGUUUGUGUGUUGUGGGCAGUCUUCACGAUCUGUUUCGCUAUUCUCAAUAUCGUUGCCUUUAUCCAACCCCAAUGGAUUGGAGACACAGGGGAGAGCGACCGGCCUGGGUUUUUCGGACUCUACCAGUUCUGUGUGCUGGGAGCGGUCACCAGCGAUUUCACGAGUGAGUUCACGUGCACCGGGGACUUCUUGGAGUUUAACCAGAUUCUCAACACCUCGUUCCAGGCGGCGUCCUUCCUCGUGGGGGCAUCGGCCCUGCUCUUCAUCAUCUGCUGCGUCUGCCUCAUCCUCUUCCUCUUCCUCAACACCGCCACAGUCCUCCGCAUCUGUGGAUGGCUUCAGAUACUCGGAGCUAUAUUCAUGGCGAUUGCGUGUAUCGUGUACCCGAACGGCUGGGACGACCCCCAGGUGGUGUCCAUCUGUAAUAGCCAGACGUACGGCAUUGGGUCGUGUGGAAUACGCUGGGCCUACAUCCUGGCCAUCGUCCUUAUCUUCGACGCCUUCAUCCUAGCAACUCUCGCCUUCAUCCUGGCAGCCAAACAGGCCAAGCUGCUGCCCGAGGUGUACGGCAAGAAGGAGAAAUCUGAACUGAACGGGUUUGCGAGCGACACGAUGUCGAAGAGAUCCGGGUACCCACUGUCUGAUGAUCGCUAUUCGGAAUAUUCUCACAGAUCGGAAAAAUCAAAAAGAUCCACCCAUUCUCAUUCCAGUAGAAUCGCUUAGAACUCAUUGUAAAAACAUGAAAACAAAUUACAAUACAUUAUUUACACAGGCCAACACAAGUGAUACUUCUAAUGGAGUAACAUACAAUAUGUUUUACAGGUAAUGCUUGUACAGGUAUUGUUGGUAAAAUGUGUUAAGGUAAUAGUUGAACAGGUUUUGAACGUAAUUUACUUUUACAGGUAUUGAAGGUAACCCGUGUACAUGUGUCAAAGGUAAUGGGUGUACACGUAUUUCAUGAACAUGUAAUACCGAUAACAUUUGUACAGGUAGGAUUUGCGCAGAUAUCACAGGUAACUCCUUGUGCAUACCAAAUGUGAUAUUUUUACAGCUACCAAUUUAAUAUUUACACAGGUAUCAUAAUCCCUGAUAUCAAGGGUAAUACUUGUACAGGCAGGCGGGGAUGGGGCUGGGGUGGGGCUUGAUAACUGAAUAAAAACAAUUAUUGGUAGUAGAUCUUAAGGGAGGGAACUGUAUUUGAGGACAUCUAUAUUUCAAAAUUUUACGGUGGAGCAUAUCCCCGAACCCCCUAGAAACUUUGCUUUACGCCCUCGAUCUUAGUCAUCCCCCCUCCCCUCCCACAAUGUCUACUUGCUUCCGCCGUGUCUGACGGUUAUUAAAUGCAAUACAUUUGCAAGUAUCACAGGAUAAAAAAUGUUGUUAGAAAGUUUACACAGAUUUGUAUAAAUUGUUUAUUAUUUUUGUAUUAUAUUAUAUUAAAAGGCCUGGAAUUAAAAUGCGGUUACAAUGUGUAUUUAUAUAUUUGGAAGGUUUGUUUUUAUAUAUAAACAAAAUGCACUACUAAUAUAUCCAGUAAUAACUUGGAGGGGGGGGGGGGGGAUGUAAAAAUAGUUCUGCUUCGCAAUAAUACAUAUUUUUUAUAAUGUGAUAAGCCACCUUCAUAGUUGCAACCAGAAAUUUUGACAGUGCCUUAAUACCAUCAAAUUACCAACAUGUCUACAAUAUGGAUACAGCAUAUACACUCACUAACUAAGAGUAUUUAUAAUGAAAGAUGAUCAAAGCGGAAUUAUAUAUUUUGUGUCGAGUCGUCCUUUUGAAAAUAUUCGAAGUAUAAUUAAGGUUGAAAUUUAUUUCUUCAUGUACGUAGAAAAGUUACGCUGCUAACCAUCGAUGUACCUGCUCUACAGGUAAGCCCAUAUUCCUUGGGGUUACCACACCUAUAGCAGCUAGUUGUUUACCGUCUGGCGUUGGCGCCGAGUCAUUGGUAAACAUUGCACAGGUGAGCUAAGGUACAAAUCGGUAUUUUUUUUUACCACUGUCGAAGUCUCAUUUACCUCCUAGGUUAUCUUUUCCAUAGCGUUUACGGUUUACAUAUAAAUCGUAAUAAAAAAAAAUUGAAAACAUUAACAUUUUCACGGUCUUCAAAAUAAUUAUAUUGCUGUGUAGAUACGCAUUUUAAAAAAUACCUCAAUAAGCCAGUCCUUUUUUCACGGAUAAUAAUUAAAGACUUAAGAAAGGAUUUUUUUUAAAUUGUAGAUCCGAUACGUUAAUAUUUGUUUUGUUACAGAUUGUUUGUGGAAGCAAACUUGAGCAUCUGUAAUAACUACAUAUUAUUAAAAAAAAAAAAAAAUUCUAGUGACCAUUUUUUUUUUUUACAUCAUUUUUCAUUAAAAACAUACUGCUGAUAUACUACAAAUUAAAUAAUUAGUGAUUUGUUUUAGAUAUUCAGACAACGUCUAUACAUAAACAAAGAAAAGAUAGUUUAGUUUAAACAAGAUUUUAUUUCUGUUAAUAUUAACAGAUGGGAUUGGUCAACAGGCGUAGACAAUAUAAAGACCUUUCUCUACAUUAUACAAUAGAAGUAAUGUACAAUUGUUAACACGGACAUCUACAAACAUCUAUUAUGGGAAAAAAAAUAAGAAAGGAAAAAAAAUAUUUGUCAUGUUUACAGAAGCUGACAAAAUUAUUGCAUUUUGUGUUGAAAAGAUGAGGGAAAUGGUUGUUCAUUUUCUGUUAUUUUUGUCAUUUUAUUGUUUGUUUUCAACUAAAUUAUCUGAAGCCCCGUUUUAAUAUUUGUAUGUAGCGUUUUGUUGUGUGCUUUUCCAUGUAUUGUGUUUUAGACAAGACAUAACAAAGGAAGAGUUUUGAUGAAAUGUCCAUAAAUGUAUGAUGCAUGCUAGAUACAAAUACACAUGUAGGUAUACACAUGUACAAAUAAUGUAAUCCAGAAUACAACAAUUCAGCAGCUUCUUUUUUUUCAGUUUAACUCACUAUUUCAUGAUCCAAAAAAUCAGGAUCCAACAAAUCUUUUUUCUAGGCAGUAAGUUCUUUCUAGACGCCGCUUAAUCAUCAUUUGUGAUUGGUCUUUACGAUUUUGAAAACGUUCUCGAAGCAACCAAUCCGAUUUAUCCUUUUUGUCAUGUUGUACAUAUGUAUAUAUAUAUGAGUAGUUUCUUUAUUUAGAACCACCAAUAUAUGAACAUAUCAUAAUUCAUAUGGUUUGUAUAUAUACAUGUAGUUAAUAUUUUGUAGAUAAAUAUAAAUUCUUACUGUUGAGAUAUAGAUGAUUGCGACUGUAAAUAUAUUUUUUUUUUUUUUUCAUAUCUUAAAAAUCGCUUUAUUACAAAUUAUAUUUCAUUUUUAUUUUAAUUUCUUUAAAUGACCCACAAGCCAAUAUUUUUGUUCGUGCUGUGGUGUUGUCAAAUAUCCUUCUUCUUUUUUUAAAGUAAAAAAGAUAAUAUUCUUUAAUUUUUAUGUCAUAACGAUGACGUAAGAUAAAUAUAUAGUAAUAUAAUAAAUACAAAAUGUCAUGUUUGUAAAUGACAUUAUGUAUUGAAGUUUGCAAUGGCGAAUUUAUGUGAUGAUACAUUGUAUAUUAUGGUUUAUGGCACCAAAGGAUGCGUUUUGAUACAUUUGUUUUGACUUCUCGCAAAUAAAUUCAACUGUUUAAAAUAG
rnacentral:misc_RNA from 1 species